rnacentral:rRNA from 1 species
CAGCAGCCGCGGUAACACCGGCGGCCCGAGUGGCGGCCACUCUUAUUGGGCCUAAAGCGUCCGUAGCCGGGCUGGUAAGUCCUCCGGGAAAUCUGGUCGCUUAACGAUCAGACUUCCGGAGGAUACUGCUGGCCUAGGGACCGGGAGAGGCCGAGGGUAUUCCCGGGGUAGGGGUGAAAUCCUGUAAUCCCGGGAGGACCACCUGUGGCGAAGGCGCUCGGCUGGAACGGGUCCGACGGUGAGGGACGAAGGCCAGGGGAGCGAACCGGAUUAGAUACCCGGGUAGUCCUGGCUGUAAACGAUGCGGACUAGGUGUCGGGCAAGCUAAGGGCUUGUCCGGUGCCGCAGGGAAGCCGUUAAGUCCGCCGCCUGGGGAGUACGGCCGCAAGGCUGAAACUUAAAGGAAUUGGCGGG